rnacentral:rRNA from 1 species
UACGUAGGGCGCAAGCGUUGUCCGGAAUUAUUGGGCGUAAAGAGCUCGUAGGCGGUCUGUUACGUCCGCUGUGAAAACCCAGGGCUUAACCCUGGGCUUGCAGUGGAUACGGGCAGACUAGAGGCAGGUAGGGGAGAAUGGAAUUCCCGGUGUAGCGGUGAAAUGCGCAGAUAUCGGGAGGAACACCGGUGGCGAAGGCGGUUCUCUGGACGGUAACUGACGCUGAGGCACGAAAGCGUGGGGAGCAAACAGG